UCUUCUCCUUCCUGCCACCUUGUGAAGGAGAUAAACAUAAAAAUAAAGUCACCAGCCCUCAGGGGUCUGUCAAGGCAACAUACAAAAUCUCCAGUUACCUUCUGGUGGAUGACGUUUGUAGACACAUUGCGUCCGUCACAGGCCACAGUUCCGAUGGAUUUACAACAACCCCUGGGGGUCACGAAGGUGUGUUCCAAGGCCACAUCUCGAACCUCACAGACAGGACAUGAAGCGAUCAGUACCCCAACUAGCAAGAGUGGCCCGUUCAUUGGCUGAGGUUCUUGAGGAUAGAGUGGGAGGUGGGAGCGUCCCUCGUGCUGCCUUCAUUUUUCCUACCCUCAGCUCAUGGGUCUGUGCUAGAGGAAGACACACGAAGCCUACUGUGCCCCCACCACAAGAGAGGGAAACAGGGAGACGCGUGGGUCUGGAGCCAGGCGUAUCUCUCUGUACCCAUCACACACGAAUUUGAAUCAUCUGCUCUUCAGAAUCGCCUACACCCUGCUGCACCCACGAUGUGGCUGUAACUCCAUUAAAGAAUUGAAUAUC
rnacentral:sRNA from 1 species